UUUUUUUUUUUUUUCCGUCUGAUAAAAUUCAUUCGAAGCAACGAUUACAAUGUUUGAUACCUAAACUGGCGGAAAAACAAGAAAUCCCCAGCAACAAGAGCCUAAGAAACAGGCGACUGAAACCCACAUCGGGGUAGCUUACAAUACAAAUCCAAAAUAAGGAAAUUCAAAACCUCAUAGAGGAACUAACACCUUCAGCUUGCAACAUCUCGAUACAUCCAAACACUUCUGAACUCUGAACGAGAUUUAUCGUUGUCGCCCACGGCCCACCGAACGAUAACAUCAACUUCUACCAACAGAGAGCACUCCUCUCUAAACCAAAGAACCCAGACUUUAUAACCCGGCAAGAUAGAACCACUCUAGGGUCACGCACACUUCCGGAUACGGCGGUGACGCACUUCAUGCGACCAAACAACGCCUCAAUAAAAGCCCUACAAAGACCACUCCAAUCUCAACAGAUCUGGAGACCAACGAAGUCUAAACCCGCCAAAACCCACCGAAACAGAAAGAAAGCGGCAACAAGGACAGGAUAGCGUUCAAAUCACUACCAAGGAACCGAAAAAUUGCAAGCUUAGGAACCCACUAGUAAAGCCACGAACCUCCCUAUAAAGAAUAAACCAACAACACCAUUCCACUAGAUAGACCGAGCUGUGAAACUCACUACACCAAACUCCUUGGACACGAAAGAAGAGAUUUGGGUAAGACAAACUUGAACGGACACGCAAACCAGUGAAGGGUUUGUUCUAGAUCUAGACGAAACCAUGUGCAGCCAAAACCAACCACGGCCAUAGCCGCAUAAACAAAAUAAAGAACAAUGGCUUCAGCAUACAACGGGACUCACGGAAAAUCUGACAAACCAUUCCAAGCCACGAGCUCUCAAGACAAUCAACCCGAAAACUGGACAGAUCUAAACACAGAAAAGAACAACACCUAAAGGACGAGAAACUAUGAAGGAUUUGACCGGCGGUGGCGCUAACAGAGCCGCCACGCGCCGGUCACCGGAAAAGAUACAGGUCUUGACUUGUAGGGAGGAGCAGGGGCGGCUGUAUCUCUCUUCCUUUUCUCUCUGCAAAUGGGAAACUUUUUUUU
rnacentral:lncRNA from 1 species